CACGUAGGGGGCAAGCGUUGUCCGGAUUUAUUGGGCGUAAAGAGCUCGUAGGUGGUUCGGUAAGUCAGGUGUGAAACCUCCAGGCUCAACCUGGAGACGCCACUUGAUACUGCUGUGACUGGAGUCCGGUAGGGGAGCGUGGAAUUCCUGGCGUAGCGGUGAAAUGCGUAGAUAUCAUAAGGAAGACCAGUGGCGAAGGCGGGUCUCUGGACAGUUCCUGACGCUGAGGCACGAAGGCCAGGGGAGCAAACGGG
rnacentral:rRNA from 1 species